rnacentral:rRNA from 1 species
UACGGAGGGAGCUAGCGUUGUUCGGAAUUACUGGGCGUAAGGCGCACGUAGGCGGCGAUUUAAGUCAGAGGUGAAAGCCCGGGGCUCAACCCCGGAAUAGCCUUUGAGACUGGAUUGCUUGAAUCUUGGAGAGGUGAGUGGAAUUCCGAGUGGAGAGGUGAAAUUCGUAGAUAUUCGGAAGAACCCCAGUGGCGAAGGCGGCUCACUGGACAAGGAUUGACGCUGAGGUGCGAAAGCGUUGGGAGCAAACAGG